rnacentral:rRNA from 1 species
AAUGAACGCUGGCGGCGCGCCUAAUACAUGCAAGUCGAGCGAGAAGACGUAGCAAUACGUUUGUAAAGCGGCGAACGGGUGAGGAAUACAUGGGUAACCUACCCUCGACGUGGGGAAUAACUAGCCGAAAGGUUAGCUAAUACCGCGUACGCUCCUUGGACUUCGGUUCAGGGAGGAAANCGAUACCGUGGGGUAUCGCGCUCUUGGUUGGGCUCAUGUCCUAUCAGCUUGUUGGUGAGGUAACGGCUCACCAAGGCUUCGACGGGUAGCUGGUCUGAGAGGACGAUCAGCCACACUGGCACUGCGACACGGGCCAGACUCCUACGGGAGGCAGCAGUAAGGAAUAUUGCGCAAUGGGCGAAAGCCUGACGCAGCGACGCCGCGUGGGGGAU